AUCACGGUUUGUAGCUGUCAUGCCCGCCAGCGUAACCACCACCGCCGCCAUGCCCGCCUGCAUUGCCAUAGCCCUCAACACCACCACCAUAGCCAACCCCAUGCUCUGCUCCACCUGCACCACCACCGGCCCCACCACCACUUCCAUAACCUCCUCCAUGCUCUCCCCCAGCAGCAAAUCCGCCACCGCCGCCACUGCCACCACCGCCACCCGAUCCUCCACCAUGCUCUCCUCCGGCACCAUAACCACCACCUUCUCCCGAGCCUCCUCCGGCACUGUAGCCGCCUACAUUACCAUAGUACUCACCACCACCUCCGCCGCUUCCACCUCCACCACCGUGACCAACUCCAUGCUCUGCUCCACCAGCACCACCACCCGCCCCACCACCACUUCCAUAACUUCCUCCAUGCUCUCCCCCUGUAGCAUAUCCGCCACCACCACCACUUCCUCCACCGAUACCUGAUCCUCCACCGUGCUCUUCUCCUGCACCAUAACCACCAACUUCUCCGGAACCUCCCCCGGCAGCGUAGCCUCCACCGUGCUCCCCUCCGGCAGCAUAGGCGCCACCACUACCGCUACCACCUCCUCCGCCAACUCCAUGUUCGCCGCCUACACCAUACCCUCCUCCGCUACCCGCACCACCACCAACCGCAUAUCCACCUCCAGCAGCAGCG
rnacentral:misc_RNA from 1 species